CUCAUGAUAUAGACCAGGCUGUCCUCAAACUCACAGAGAUCCACCUGUCUCUGCUUCCUCAGUGCUGGAAUUAAAGGUGUGCACCAUCAUGCCCAGUACCUCGUCGAUGUUUUGAUGUUCUGUUCUUCAUACCCCAAGGCCUCUCUGCUUGGGAAGGACUACAGGGACAUUCCAAGCAGCCUUGGAAAAUCACUUCAUGAACCCAUUUUGUUUUGUUUGAAGCAAGGUCUUGUGUAGCAGCAGCAUUUAACUUCCUCUGUCUUCAAACUCGGUCCUACCUCAGCCUCCCAAGUGCUAAAAUGACAGGAAUGUACUACCACACCCGGCAGUGUCCAUUUUAAGGUAAGGAGACUGAAGCCUGGAGUUGUAACUUGUUCGGCAAAGAGAGAUCUGUCUCUGGCUGUCAGCUUGAGCCAAAGACCCGGGAGAACCCUGAUCUCAGCAGCCGUGUGGCUCUGUGUUUGUGAGACCUAGGGCAGCUGUGACUCACAGCCCUGCUCUCAGCAGUCUGGACCCAGAGUGCCCAUCAGAAUGACAGACUACCCAGAAUUCUUCCCUAUGGAGUAAUUUGGCAUUUCCAGCAUUAGGUUCAAUGUUCAGUCCUCACUCCCUUUCAUGAUAUCUGCAGAGGCAGGUACAGACGGAAAAUCUAUGGCACUCCCAGAAGACUAAGUGAUGUACACAUAGAGCCAGUGUCCCAGCCAGUCAGGUACUCCCACCCUGGAUAGAAGAAAAACAGCAGGACCAGGGCCCUGGCAGUCCUCAACCCCAGUGUUGCUCUUGGGAAUAGUUGGGUGGCAGUCCUUUAAUAAACAAAACCCUAACACCUUUCUUAGACUGCAAAGAGAAGAGGCCUUGACAAGCAAGGUCCUCGGUUUACCAUUGAUUUCCACAGAUUCUCAUGGUAUGUUGAGAAAGACUCUCUUCUUUCCAUUGGCCCUGGAGUCCCGGGGCCCCACACUUCUCUGGACUACAGUGUGUGACCCAGGGAGACGAAAAUGAGGAUUCUGUGCACUUACUCAAGGUGGCAGAGACAGUGUGGCCACCGUCUGUACAAAACCAAAACUGGUGCCCCACCCAUAGCCAACUGAGGGGUGUUGUUUUUGUGUUUAUUUUUUAAAAAGAAAUGAAAAAUUGUCAAUAUUGAACUUUUUUUUAAUGAAAUAGAGAAGGCAUAAGAGAGGCCCAGGAGUAGCAUCUAGAGUGGGUAUUGAGUGUCAGAAGCACAGACUUCAUUUAUUCCUUCCAAGGAAGACUGUAGAGCCCAAAGCCGGGCUCAACAGGUAAAAACACUUGCCUCGCAAGCCUGGUGACCCGAGUUCAAUCCCAGGUUUGCUCAGUGGAAGGAGCAAACUGACUCCUAAAUGUUGCCCUCUGACUUCCACAUGCUGUAGCACACAUGCAACUACGUUCACAUACAAAUCAUACAUAGGCAAUAACAAUUGUAAAAAUUCUUAAAGACACUAAUGCCCAGGAUGAAAAGGACUUCCCCAAGGGCACAGCCUGUUAGAGACAAUGCCAGGCACCCUGGUUCGUUGCCCAUCCCGUUCUACUACAGAUGGACAGACCAGAGUUGGUAGCCAAGAAUCUCACCUUCCAUGAGCUGCCCCACUUGUGGUAAGCAGGCAUGAGCUGCCAUUCCCACUCGCCCACAUCCUCCCAAAACCCAAAAUCAGCAGGAGAUUUGAAUCUUAGAAAACUGAGUUGCCCUUCUUGAACACUUUUUGGGGGAUGGUGAGACAAGGUUUCUCCGUGUAGCCCUGGGUGUCCUGGAGCUCACUCUUUAGACCAGGCUUGCCUCGAACUCAGAUCCACCUGCCUCUGUCUCCUGAGUGCUGGGAUUAAAGGCGUGCGCCACCAUUGCCGGUCUUGAACACUGAACACUUUUUAGGCAUGGGGAACCUAAGUUCUGGAGCAGUGCUGCUGUGGCUGUCCUGAUCUUAGAGAAGUGGAGGCCCGGGUUUGGCAGCAGUGGCCUGUACAGUCCGUACUUCACUUCUGAAAUCCUCUCUUAAUUCGGGAGUGAGUGUGAAUACAGCAUUGGGCUCCAUUCUGCACUGCUGCCGUUUAUGGUUUACACAAUGCCAUAACUAGGCUAUUUGUCACAAGAUAAAACCCA